AGCUUCAUCAGCACUGGAUGUUUUGGCCCAGCUGACGAUGAAGGGUGCAGCAAGAUGUGGUGUGCAAUAUGACUUGCAGAUUUCCGUGAGUAGGUGCAAAUUGAAUGCUGUGUGCGCGGUUGGGCCGCUCCCAAUGGUGUGCUGAAUUCGAAACA
rnacentral:rRNA from 1 species